rnacentral:ncRNA from 2 species
AUCAUCUUGUCGGAGUGCCUGCAUUCCACAAACGCAUUCGCGAUGCCUCAGGGUAACGCGAAGGCGAUGUGGGAAAGGCUGAGACCGUUAAUUCGGGAUCCGCGGAACCUGAUCAGGUUAAGACCUGCGAAGGGAACAAGAGUAAUUCUGCU